rnacentral:lncRNA from 1 species
CAAACAAGUGUCACUGUCGUUUACUAUCAAGUUACUGUGAAAGAUGACACUAAACUAAACCGUAGUUCCAUGUCCGAAUUGCCCUGGAUCUGACAAUCUUCUUCACCAUCUGCUGCUCUCUUUCAUUGUGGUAUGUGAAAGCUGAUCUUUUGUAAAGCUUUAGAAGUUCAUUUGAUCUUCAUAGUUACUCCCUUCAUUCGUAUGAUUCAUUGUUCCUUAGAUUGCACAUUACAAUUCCCAUCUGGGGUUUGGAAUUUGUAACGUUACAGAACCAAGUUACUGAUUUUCUUGUGUUAACGCAUUCUGACCUUUCAAGGCUGUUGCUUUCAGAUAAACAGUGGAGUAAAGGUGUAAUUAUUAUGAGAUUCUUAGACCC